GGUUAAGCGACUAAGCGUACACGGUGGAUGCCCUGGCAGUCAGAGGCGAUGAAGGGCGUGCUAAUCUGCGAUAAGCGCCGGUAAGGUGAUAUGAACCGUUAUAACCGGCGAUACCCGAAUGGGGAAACCCAGUGUGAUUCGUCACACUAUCAUUAACUGAAUCCAUAGGUUAAUGAGGCGAACCGGGGGAACUGAAACAUCUAAGUACCCCGAGGAAAAGAAAUCAACCGAGAUUCCCCCAGUAGCGGCGAGCGAACGGGGAGGAGCCCAGAGCCUGAAUCAGCAUGUGUGUUAGUGGAAGCGUCUGGAAAGGCGCGCGAUACAGGGUGACAGCCCCGUACACAAAAGCGCAUGUGUUGUGAGCUCGAUGAGUAGGGCGGGACACGUGGUAUCCUGUCUGAAUAUGGGGGGACCAUCCUCCAAGGCUAAAUACUCCUGACUGACCGAUAGUGAACCAGUACCGUGAGGGAAAGGCGAAAAGAACCCCGGCGAGGGGAGUGAAAAAGAACCUGAAACCGUGUACGUACAAGCAGUGGGAGCACAGGUUUACCUGUGUGACUGCGUACCUUUUGUAUAAUGGGUCAGCGACUUAUAUUCUGUAGCAAGGUUAACCGCAUAGGGGAGCCGGAGGGAAACCGAGUCUUAAUUGGGCGUUAAGUUGCAGGGUAUAGACCCGAAACCCGGUGAUCUAGCCAUGGGCAGGUUGAAGGUUGGGUAACACUAACUGGAGGACCGAACCGACUAAUGUUGAAAAAUUAGCGGAUGACCUGUGGCUGGGGGUGAAAGGCCAAUCAAACCGGGAGAUAGCUGGUUCUCCCCGAAAGCUAUUUAGGUAGCGCCUCGUGAAUUCAUCUCCGGGGGUAGAGCACUGUUUCGGCUAGGGGGCCAUCCCGGCUUACCAACCCGAUGCAAACUGCGAAUACCGGAGAAUGUUAUCACGGGAGACACACGGCGGGUGCUAACGUCCGUCGUGAAGAGGGAAACAACCCAGACCGCCAGCUAAGGUCCCAAAGUCAUGGUUAAGUGGGAAACGAUGUGGGAAGGCCCAGACAGCCAGGAUGUUGGCUUAGAAGCAGCCAUCAUUUAAAGAAAGCGUAAUAGCUCACUGGUCGAGUCGGCCUGCGCGGAAGAUGUAACGGGGCUAAACCAUGCACCGAAGCUGCGGCAGCGACACUGUGUGUUGUUGGGUAGGGGAGCGUUCUGUAAGCCUGUGAAGGUGGCCUGUGAGGGUUGCUGGAGGUAUCAGAAGUGCGAAUGCUGACAUAAGUAACGAUAAAGCGGGUGAAAAGCCCGCUCGCCGGAAGACCAAGGGUUCCUGUCCAACGUUAAUCGGGGCAGGGUGAGUCGACCCCUAAGGCGAGGCCGAAAGGCGUAGUCGAUGGGAAACGGGUUAAUAUUCCCGUACUUGGUGUUACUGCGAAGGGGGGACGGAGAAGGCUAUGUUGGCCGGGCGACGGUUGUCCCGGUUUAAGCGUGUAGGUGUGUGUUCCAGGUAAAUCCGGUUCACUUUAACACUGAGGCGUGAUGACGAGGCACUACGGUGCUGAAGCAACAAAUGCCCUGCUUCCAGGAAAAGCCUCUAAGCAUCAGGUAACAUCAAAUCGUACCCCAAACCGACACAGGUGGUCAGGUAGAGAAUACCAAGGCGCUUGAGAGAACUCGGGUGAAGGAACUAGGCAAAAUGGUGCCGUAACUUCGGGAGAAGGCACGCUGACACGUAGGUGAAGUGAUUUACUCAUGGAGCUGAAGUCAGUCGAAGAUACCAGCUGGCUGCAACUGUUUAUUAAAAACACAGCACUGUGCAAACACGAAAGUGGACGUAUACGGUGUGACGCCUGCCCGGUGCCGGAAGGUUAAUUGAUGGGGUCAGCGCAAGCGAAGCUCCUGAUCGAAGCCCCGGUAAACGGCGGCCGUAACUAUAACGGUCCUAAGGUAGCGAAAUUCCUUGUCGGGUAAGUUCCGACCUGCACGAAUGGCGUAAUGAUGGCCAGGCUGUCUCCACCCGAGACUCAGUGAAAUUGAACUUGCUGUGAAGAUGCAGUGUACCCGCGGCAAGACGGAAAGACCCCGUGAACCUUUACUAUAGCUUGACACUGAACAUUGAGCCUUGAUGUGUAGGAUAGGUGGGAGGCUUUGAAGUGUGGACGCCAGUCUGCAUGGAGCCGACCUUGAAAUACCACCCUUUAAUGUUUGAUGUUCUAACGUGGACCCGUAAUCCGGGUUGCGGACAGUGUCUGGUGGGUAGUUUGACUGGGGCGGUCUCCUCCUAAAGAGUAACGGAGGAGCACGAAGGUUGGCUAAUCCUGGUCGGACAUCAGGAGGUUAGUGCAAUGGCAUAAGCCAGCUUGACUGCGAGCGUGACGGCGCGAGCAGGUGCGAAAGCAGGUCAUAGUGAUCCGGUGGUUCUGAAUGGAAGGGCCAUCGCUCAACGGAUAAAAGGUACUCCGGGGAUAACAGGCUGAUACCGCCCAAGAGUUCAUAUCGACGGCGGUGUUUGGCACCUCGAUGUCGGCUCAUCACAUCCUGGGGCUGAAGUAGGUCCCAAGGGUAUGGCUGUUCGCCAUUUAAAGUGGUACGCGAGCUGGGUUUAGAACGUCGUGAGACAGUUCGGUCCCUAUCUGCCGUGGGCGCUGGAGAACUGAGGGGGGCUGCUCCUAGUACGAGAGGACCGGAGUGGACGCAUCACUGGUGUUCGGGUUGUCAUGCCAAUGGCACUGCCCGGUAGCUAAAUGCGGAAGAGAUAAGUGCUGAAAGCAUCUAAGCACGAAACUUGCCCCGAGAUGAGUUCUCCCUGAGACUUAAAGUCUCCUGAAGGAACGUUGAAGACGACGACGUUGAUAGGCCGGGUGUGUAAGCGCAGCGAUGCGUUGAGCUAACCGGUACUAAUGAACCGUGAGGCUUAACCUU
rnacentral:rRNA from 1 species